rnacentral:lncRNA from 10 species
CUAAAAUCAGAAUCUCUGGAGGUGGGACCCAGGCAAAAAUCUCAAGCUUGCAUGAAUCGAAUUAUCUGCUUUCUCCUUACCUGAAACUGGGCAGCUGAAGGAUAAGUCACCUUAUGAGUGGUACCUAAGAUAAUGAUGCAUUUUGCAGUUGACGGCACCUUAGAUUUACUCAAUCAUGGAGAUGGCAAAUUACCAAUGAUGGGCCAAAUCUGGUAUGCUAUUUUUAUAUGACCUAGGAGAUAAAAAUGGAUUUUACAUUUUUAAUUUUUUUUAUGAGAUGGAGUUUCACUCUUGUUGCCCAGGCUGGAGUGCAAUGGCACAAUCUCGGCUCACUGCAACCUCCACCUCCCAGGUUCAAGCAAUUCUUCUGCCUCAGCCUCCCGAGUAGCUGGGAUUACAGGCAUGCGCCACCAUGCCCAGCUAAUUUUGUAAUUUUAAUAGAGCCAGGGUUUCUCCAUGUUGGUCAGGCCGGUCUCGAACUCCUGACCUCAGGUGAUCCGCCUGCCUCGGCCUCCCAAAGUGCUGGGAUUACAGGCGUGAGCCACUGCGCCUGGCCUGGAUUUUACAUUUUUUAAUUGUUGAAAAACUUGAAAGAAGAAUAAUAUUCCAUGACAUGUAACAUAAAGUUCAAAUUUCAAUGUGGAUAAAAUAAGUUUUAUUAUUACACAGCCCCGAGAGCUUAUUUAUUGUCUAUGGUUGUUUUCACACUACAAUGGCAGAGAUGAAUAGCUGCAAGAGAGACCAUAUGGCUGGCAAAGCCUAAAAAUAUCUACAAUCCUGCCUUUGAUACAAGAAGUUUGUCAACCCCUGGUUGACAUACAUACAUACAUGUAUACAUACAUAACAUACAUAUACAUGUAUGCAUAUAUAUAUGCACACACACAUGCAUAUAUAUGUCAACAUGUAUAUGUUGUGAGGGGUGUGAGGGGUGUGUGUG